AUCCAGCUGAAGAGUCCCAAACAGGACGAAACACGCGUCCUGGAU
rnacentral:hammerhead_ribozyme from 1 species